GACGAACGCUGGCGGCGUGCUUAACACAUGCAAGUCGAACGGAAAGGCCCUGCUUUUGUGGGGUGCUCGAGUGGCGAACGGGUGAGUAACACGUGAGUAACCUGCCCUUGACUUUGGGAUAACUUCAGGAAACUGGGGCUAAUACCGGAUAGGAGCUCCUGCUGCAUGGUGGGGGUUGGAAAGUUUCGGCGGUUGGGGAUGGACUCGCGGCUUAUCAGCUUGUUGGUGGGGUAGUGGCUUACCAAGGCUUUGACGGGUAGCCGGCCUGAGAGGGUGACCGGCGACAUUGGGACUGAGAUACGGCCCAGAAUCCUACGGGAGGCAGCAGGGGGGAAUAUGGCAGAAUGGGCGGAAGCCUGAUGCAGCAACGCCGCGUGCGGGAUGACGGGCUUCGGGUUGUAAACCGCUGUCGCCUGUGACGAGGCGUGAGUGACGGUAAUGGGUAAAGAAGCACCGGCUAACUACGUG
rnacentral:rRNA from 1 species